UGGACACUCUGCCCAUUGGCCACCUUCUCAGCAUUGCUCUGUGCCCUGGAGCCUCUUGGAUCUGCAGCUGGGGCUAGAAAUGGCUCCCCUGGCUUUCACCUUUGGCUGUGGCUCACCCAGCAAAUGACUCUCGGCCUCCACCUUCCUGUUUCAUACACCAGAACUGUGGCAUUCUCCAUUAUUGGUGGAUUCCAUGGAAGAUGGAGGCCAGGAUGAGGGGCGGUCUUCCUGCUGCUGCUAUCUGGACAUGAGGACAAGGUCACAUGACCCUGGCCCAACCAACAGACUGUCACACCCAUGACUUUGGAUGCUGAUGAAGAGAGUCAAAGAGAUGUAGAAACAAGUGCUAUGGCACUCUCGCUGUCCAGCGCAACACUGUCCAGAGAAUUUCACACUGUCAUCCCUCACCUCACACCCUUCCCUCUGUCUGCCUUUGCACUGGACCAAUGGGAUGGGACAGAGAAUAAACCAGAGCACAAGAUGAACCACCAGAAGGAGGUGUCAAGGAUUCAGUCCUUGUUCAGUUCAGCUUCUACAAAGGUAUAGUAGUUGAACAGCAGAGGACAAAAAGCAGGAAAAAAUUUGAAAGAUUAUUAUGAUCUUUUCCUCUCCUGAGACCAAAAAGUAAAAAUUUUAUAUGUUUAUACAUCCAUCUGUUCAUGA